rnacentral:rRNA from 1 species
UACGUAGGGGGCAAGCGUUAUCCGGAUUUACUGGGUGUAAAGGGAGCGUAGACGGAGAAGCAAGUCUGAAGUGAAAGCCCGUGGCUUAACCACGGGACUGCUUUGGAAACUGUUUGACUAGAGUGCUGGAGAGGUAAGUGGAAUUCCUAGUGUAGCGGUGAAAUGCGUAGAUAUUAGGAGGAACACCAGUGGCGAAGGCGGCUUACUGGACAGUAACUGACGUUGAGGCUCGAAAGCGUGGGGAGCAAACA